rnacentral:rRNA from 1 species
CGGGCCAAAAAUGGUCAACUCUUUGGACACUCGUGAACAGGUGGUGCAUGGUUGUCGUCAGCUCGUGUCGUGAGAUGUUGGGUUAAGUCCCGCAACGAGCGCAACCCUCGUUCUAUGUUGCCAGCGCGUUAUGGCGGGGACUCAUAGGAGACUGCCGGGGUCAACUCGGAGGAAGGUGGGGAAAUCGAAUUCCC